rnacentral:rRNA from 1 species
GGGGAGCCGUAUCGGAAUACUGGGCGUAAGCGUGCGCAGGCGGUCUGUUAAGUCCGAUGUGAAAUCCCUGGGCUCAACCUGGGAACUGCAUUGGAUACUGGCGCGACUAGAGUGUGGUAGAGGGUAGUCGAAUUUCCUGGGGUACCGGUGAAAUGCGUAGAGAUCUGGAGGAACAUCCAUGGCGAAGGCGGCUUCCUGGACCAACACUGACGCUGAGGCGCGAAAGCGUGGGGAGCAAACAGGAUUAGAUACCCUGGUAGUCCACGCCCUAAACGAUGCCAACUGGAUGGUGGGGGCCUUUUGGCACGCAUUCUCGAACCUAACGCGUUAAUCUCCCCGCCGGGGAAGUACGGCCGCAAGACUGAAACUCAAAGGAAUUGACGGGGGCCCGCACAACCGGGGAAGUAUGUGGUUUAUUUCAAUCCACCGCAAAAAACCUUACCUGGCCUUGACUUCUCAAAAACUUUCCAAAAAUGGAUUGGGGCCUUCGGAAACUCGAACACAGGUGCUGCUUGGCUGUCGUCACCUCGUGUCGUGAGAUGUUGGGUUAAUUCCCGCACCAAGCGCACCCCUUGUCCUUAUUUGCCACCACGUAAUGGUGGGAACUCUAGAGACAGCGCCGGAGACACUGCAGAAGAGGGUGGAUAUCACGUCGACUCCUCGUGCCCUUUAACGACAGGUAUACACACGUUCUACUGUGGCAUGCACAGAGGACUGCCCUCCGGAGACCGUAAGCAACUCCCAAAAAGCCUAUCUCACUCCAUAGUAGACUCUGCCUCUCCUCUCUGUGAACUCAGACUCUCUAGUUCUCGCAUAUCAACGUUGCUGCGAAGAAUACGUUCGGGGUUGUUGUACCGCCGGCCGUCCAUGAUAGUAGUUUGUUCACCAGAAGGAGGAGCUCAUCUUCAGGAGGCUCUUGCCUGGGGUGACGAUGAUGGGAGAUAACAAAGGGCCCCCCAAAAAAAAAAAGGGUUUUUUUAACCGUC